UGCCAGCAGCCGCGGUAAUACGGAGGGGGUUAGCGUUGUUCGGAAUUACUGGGCGUAAAGCGCGCGUAGGCGGAUUGGAAAGUUGGGGGUGAAAUCCCGAGGCUCAACCUCGGAACUGCCUCCAAAACUCCCAGUCUAGAGUUCGAGGGAGGUGAGUGGAAUUCCGAGUGCAGAGGUGAAAUUCGUAGAUAUUCGGAGGAACACCAGUGGCGAAGGCGGCUCACUGGCUCGAUACUGACGCUGAGGUACGAAAGUGCGGGGAGCGAACAGGAUUAGAUA
rnacentral:rRNA from 1 species